rnacentral:misc_RNA from 1 species
AAGCUUUACUCUCCAUUUACUCUUGGAGUAAUGGUUAUGCCACCGAGUCAAAACGGAGAGGACUCACAUCGGUGCCUCCCAUCGAGGUUGGGUUUACAGAGUCAGCCGGUCGAGGUGUGUUUGCCACUCGGAGAAUCGGUGCUGGCGAACUCAUCCACACUGACAAACCCAUCCUCUCUCACCCUUCUCUUUCUUCACUUCAUAGCGUCUGUUAUUUCUGCCUAAAAAAUGUA